CAAACUACAGGUAAACUACACAGCAUGGUUGCUAUGGCACGCAAACUACAGGUAAACUACACAGCAUGGUUGCUAUGGCACACAAACUACAGGUAAACGACACAGCAUGGUUGCUAUGGCACGCAAACUACAGGUAAACUACACAGCAUGGUUACUAUGACAUGCAAACUACACAACAUGGUUGCUAUGGCACGCAAGCUUCAGGUAUAAUGCAACACAGCAGAUACACAACUAAACAAACUACAGGUAUAAUGCAACACAGCAGAUACACAACUAAACAAACUACAGGUGAACAACUACAACACAACUGACAAUCAUAACAAACAAAAAAUACAACCAACCAACAUGCACUUUCAGACAAAUGACAGGUGUCAACAUAAACAGUGUUGAAUGGAUGAAUGAUGAACUACAAAUCUCACAGUGCCACGGACUAAAGUUCCCAUGGUUCAUUGCUCUGACCGCUCUCAAUUCAAGGGGCUUUGUUGGCAUGGGAAACAUAUGUUAACAUUGA